rnacentral:lncRNA from 1 species
UUUUUUUUUUUUUGGGGUGCAAGUGCAAUAAAUAGAUAAAAUACGAGUUAAUGCGAACCGAAAUGAAAUUGUUAAGUGAAAAUUUUGAAUUUUGAGUUACUGUCAAAGGCAGCCAAGGACUGACAAAUGUAUAUAUUUUUUUCUGAGUUUGUAGCUUCAUUUUUUGCAAAAAAAUUGUAUGGCUUUGUAGUGGGCAACGAUGGCUAUGGACACGGAAGCACACUGUAAAAUUAACAAAAGAUUAGACAACUCAUGUCACUGGUGUUGUUAGAGACGGCCGGCCAAUUCAGCUGUCUUUUCAUUUAUCUUUAAGACUUUGGGGCUGAGGGCCAAGGUUUGUUUAUGUAUCGUCAUUUGGGAAAAAAACAAAAAAGAGAGAAAAAAUCUAGCUGAGCUGUUUAGCAUCAAGAUUGAUGAUGGAUCUUCUUCUUUCACUACUAUUUAAGUACGUGUACAUGUCGAAAUGGUUUAAACAGGGAUCUUGUUUGGACAAGACAAUUAGGGGAGGCAAUCCCGAUAAUUGAAAGGGUGAGAUACGAGAAACCCGACAAAAGAAUUAGAGGUAGCUGUUUAAUUUAAUUAAUACCUCAAUGUAACCGAGAUUUUCUGGGUCUAAUUCUUCCAUUAUUAAAUCAGCAUACUCUUCGGCACGUUCUUUCAAUGUGGACAACUUAUUCGCAGAAGCACUCAGCAUUAUUAGCUGUUUUUUUCCAAUAUAACCACCAAAAAAAAAAAAAAUCAGAUAGAGAUUAGGCUUAUCUUAUGCUUAUCCCAAGGUCAAACCAAAAAUUAAAAUAUAAAAAAAAAGUAAAAGAAAAAUGAGUUGCCUUGCCUGAGAGAUACAUAUUCCUACCAACUACUACUUGUGUCUGGUAUGCAUCUCUUUCCCUUGAUUCGGAACUUUCUUUGGGGUAUAUCGCUGCACAUAUCUCACUUCAAACUCUUUUUCCUUGCAGUAUCUAGUUGAUCUUGCUGGAAGUGAACGUGCUUCUCAAACAAAUGCAGAUGGUACAAGGUUCAAGGAAGGGAGCCAUAUUAAUAGAAGCCUGCUGACUUUGACAACUGUAAUUAGAAAGCUAAGGUAGCAGCUCAGGGAUAGGAAAUACUGGUAGUUUAGCCUUUUGAUUUGAAAGUUCUCUGUAUGAUCUUGUUGGUUAGCUGAUAAGAGUUUUUCAAACAUAUCAAGCUAUUUCUCUUGCUGAUAUGAUGAGUCUAGGCAUUCUUUUAUGCUGAUUUUAGAAUCAUAGAGCUAGAUAAGUACAAAGGCAACAAAUGAAUAUAAUCUUUAUUUUGCUAUGUGCAGUGGUGGCAAGAGGAUUGGUCACAUCCCAUACAGGGAUUCAAAACUCACAAGAAUAUUACAGUCUUCAGUUGGGGGAAAUGCACGAACAGCAAUAAUUUGUACAUGAGUCCUGCUCUGGGUCAUGUGGAGCAAUCACGGAAUACACUCUCCUUUGCGACAAGUGCAAAAGAAGUUACAAAUAAUGCACAUGUGAAUCUGGUAUGUUAGCAAAAAAUUUUGGUUUAAAUGAUUCACCACUGUGUUGCAUAUUAUGACGUUGUUUGUUUGUCAAAUAUGGUCAAAAGUUUGUAAAACUUCCACUAAAAGAAUGACUUGUUACUAAACAGAAUUUCAUGUUUAACCAAUUGCUUACAAAAGGAACAUUUUUCAAUUUUGACGAGGCAGUAUUAUCAAAAUUGUCCCAACUUCUUGUGGAAUCUAAUUCUACUCCGGAUGGAACCUUGAAUUUGAAUAACUGAUCACAUGGAUUUCACUGUGUAUUUCUAUCAUUUUUUCCAGCAGGAUCUAACCAUGCCAGCUCAAGUUUAUUUUGAUCAAUGAAAUGAAGUAGAAAUAAGUAGGUUCUUCUAUCUUCAAAAACUGAAUUCUUAUAACACGAACUGAAAGUGCAACUUCCAAUGAAAAUAUUAAAUAGAUAAAUGAACUUUCAGCUUUACCAUGUUAGAUAUCUAAUUGAGUGGGAAUAUUUACCCUAAGGACUGAGUUUGACUUAUUUACUUUGUUAAUUGACUCUUGAGUUUGGUUUGAUUGGCUGCAAAGGAAAUGCAGAUGGCCACACUCUUAUGAACUAAUAUAUUACACUAGAAAACUUGGGGAUGAAUUAGUUCAGUUGACAAACUGAAAUAUCUUGAAAAGUCACAGCUAUUCUGGUAUUAUGCCUUCUGUAUAUCAAUAUCAUUUCAUGGAUAUUCUCUUUCAUCUUUGCACUAUUCUAGUACACUAUUGGAUACUCUCUUCUGUAUAUCAAUACCUUUGUACUAUUCUCUUUCAUGGAUAUCAAUAUCCUUUCAUGGAUAUUCUUGUUCAUCUUUGCACUAUUCUAGUACACUAUUGGAAAGUUGGGGACGAUUAGUCCAUUUGCUAAACUGAAAUAUCUUGAAAAUUCACGGACCAUUCUAGCAUUAUGCCUUCUGUAAAUGAAGAUUCUUUCAUGCAUACUCUCUUUAUCUUGCUGAGUAGAAGGAUUGUUUGCACUGCUGGGAAGCGUGGCAUAUUUAUUUGGUUCAAGCACAAUGAGCCAUCAAUAUGAUAAAAGUCCUUAGUUUGAAAUUUAUUUCCACUUUUCUAGGUUGUUGCAGAAAAACAAUUAUUGAAGCAUUUGAAGAAGGAGGUGGCAAGACUUGAAGCAGAGCUCCGAAGUCCUGAACCAUGUGGCUCCUCGUCUUUAAGGUCCUUACUAAUUGAGAAGGAAAUGAAAAUCCAGCAGGUAGACUACAAAGAGCUCUUUGGGUAGAUGUUAAUGCUAAUGUGCAGUAAACCAAGACACUUUCAGAUGGUUUUUGGUCAAAUUAUUGUUUCACUUCUGUUUCUCAGAUUGAUUGCAUGACACCCAAUGUUAGUGGUGCAUUUAGGAAUGUGCUAUAUACAUACACUUGAAUGAAGGCACAAGUUUUAAUAGCAAAAGUUUUAAAUGCAGAUGGAGAUAGAAAUGAAUGAGCUGAAACGCCAAAGGGACAUUGCAGAAUCCCAGCUUGAAUUAGAAAGAAAAGCACACAAGGAACCAAAGGGAUCAAAUCAGCACGGUCCGUCUCGUCGUGUAGUUAAAUGUCUUUCUUAUACUUCUGAGAACGAGUCAGUUUCUGGAGGGCCUCUUCCAAAAAUCCAGCCCAGGAACUUAACUGGAAGGCAAUCACUGGUUAGACAGUCAGCUACUUCUUCAUCCAUGCUGGUGCAUGAGAUUCGAAAAAUUGAGAUGAGCCAGAGGCAGCUUGGUGAGGAAGCGAACCGUGCACUUGAUUUACUUCACAAGGAGGUUGCUUCUCACAGAAUUGGUAGUCAAGAUGCUAAUGAAGCUCUGGCAAAGCUGCUUGUAGAAAUUAAGGAGAUGCAGGCUAUCGGUUUAGUUCCCGAAACUAUUGAGAUUAAAGACAAAGGUAGCUUGAAAGAAGAGAUUGCCCGAUUGAACACUCAGGAGACUAAUAUUGCAUCUCUAGAAGAAAAGCUUGAGAAUGUUCAGAGAUCCCUAGAUAAAUUAGUGACGUGUUUUCCAAGUGGAAAGGGGACUCCUGAUUUGAGGACUUCAGCCAAAAAGAAAAAAGGUCUUCCAUUUACACUGAGCAAUUCACCUAACAUGCCAAACAUGAUAAGAUCUCCAUGCUCACCUGUGGAACCAGGGAUUGAAAAUAGAGCCCCAGAGGCUAACAAUCUUUCAUCUGGUAGUGAUGGCUUCUACCUUCGAGAGAGCACUCCUCGUAGAAAUCACGAAGCUAACAAUAUCUCAUCAGCAGAGACUACCCCUGCACCAAAGCAUUCAACCUCUGUUGGUGUGAAGAAAAUGGAAAAGAUGUUCAAGAAAGCGACUGAGGAGCACAUCCGGAGUAUACGAACUUACGUCACAGGGCUUAAAGAACGUGUCGCAAAGCUGCAAUACCAGAAACAGCUUCUGGUUUGCCAGGUAAGAUUUAUUAACUUCAGGCUGUUCUUCUUCUCUUUUGGUUAAAUGAGGUUCUUAUUUAUAUGAACUUAAGAGCGGCGGAAAAUGACUCAACUGGUAUGAGAACAUGUUGAACCAUUCAACUUCCCAUUUCUUGUUUAUACAUAAACAUGGAUAUAUUAGGAUAAAGCUGGUAAUGAUAAAAGUACUUGAGUUUGAAAUGGUCUGCCAUGAAAUUUUAUUGUAUCAUAAUGUUGUAUGGGCUUGAGAAAAAAGCAAGCCUUUAAUAGCUGCGGGCACGUGGUGUAUUUUGUUUUUCAGUUGUUCUUUGAACAAAUGUUUGGUACCAUUUUAAUAUCAUUGGCAGCAGCAUCUGCCAUAAGUAUUAGUAUCUGAGCUUUGGAAUCUGAAUCAUUUUUCUCCGCUCCCAGUCUCUUUCUUUUGGGUAUUGCAUUCUUCACUGAAUGAGUUUCUUAUCUUUCUAUGGUCACUUUUUACCAUAUUUGUAUUAGGUGUUAGAGCUGGAGGCAAAUGAAGCUGCAUCUGAUGGACCCGAUAAUAUUGAAGAAUCUAGCAUCUCAUGGCAAUCAAUGUUUGAAGAACGAAGGAAGCAAAUUGUCAUGUUGUGGCAUUUAUGCCAUGUGUCAAUCAUACACCGCACUCAAUUUUAUUUGCUGUUUAAAGGGGAUCCUUCAGAUCAGAUAUAUAUGGAAGUUGAACUUAGAAGGUUGACAUGGUUGGAGCAGCAUUUGGCAGAUCUUGGUAAUGCAAGUCCAGCACUUUUAGGUGAUGAUCCUGCAAGCUUUGUGUCAUCAAGGUAUGUUAGAAGCGUUUCAGAUUGACUACUAUACAUGCGGGCAUGCAAGUGGUGUAGUUUUAUACCUUUUCUAGUUGAUUUUUUCUUGUCUAAGUGCUCUAUUACUUGCUUUGAAAUGCAGCAUCAAGGCCCUUAAGCAAGAGAGGGAAUAUCUAGCAAAGAGGGUGAGUACAAAGCUGACUCCAGAAGAAAGGGAAAUGCUAUACUUGAAAUGGAACAUCCCACCAGAAGGGAAAGGCAAAACAAAGAGGAGGCUGCAACUUGUAAAUAAACUGUGGAUGGACCCUCUGAAUAUGCAACAUAUAAAGGAAAGUGCUGAAAUUGUUGCAAAACUCGUGGGGUUCUGCGAAACUGGUGAGCAUGUCUCCAAGGAGAUGUUUGAGCUCAAUUUUGUCUCCCCUUGUGACAAAAAGACUUGGAUCGGUUGGAACUUGAUAUCCAAUCUCUUGCACUUGUAAUCACCAACCUGUUAUUAGUGCUUCGAAUUCCACUCAAGUUUCUGAGAUCAUAGCUCUGACCAACCGUUUGUAUAGAAUGUCUGCCUGUCUAUCUGUCUGUAUGGUCUUAACUCCAGCUUUUGUAGCGGUAACAGUUCAAAAUAGAUGAAUGAAGAAAGCCCGUUUCCAGAACAGAAACGAGUGCUUGAAAAAUGCCCGUUUUUCUUCUUUUCUUGGGCUCAAGUGUCUGUUUUUUGUGGAAUGAUCAUCACAUAGUUGAGCCUUCAAGUGACUUUACUCCCAAGUACGGGAUAGCUCCAGAUGUUGUUUGGACUCUGGACUAAAGAGUUCCUUGACAGCGCAAAGGCGUGAAGAUGAUGUGCUGCUUUGCCUGGUUAAACCAGUAAAAAAAACCAUGACCUGAAAAGAGGCGCAUCUCCUUUCAAAUGAGGGACAAUAAUGUCUACUGGAAUAAAAAAGGGGGAAGAAAAAAAAAAUAUAUAUAUAUAUAUAGUUGUCCCACUCAUAAAAAAUGUGAGCUAUAAGACAUGGUUAAACAAUUAAGAUUCAAAAACUCGUUUGAAGGUGUCAUUUGUUCAUAAACUUGGAAUGUGUGUAAUUAUAAAAUUAGAUGUUUAAUCGAUUAAUCAAUUAUUGAUCAUACAACUCACUGAUAAAGGGUAAACCAAAACUAAUCUUAUCUAUAAUAAUUUACUACUAAUCUUUUUUCAGUACUGGAAUAUAUUCAAUAUUCAUCCUCCUUUUUUUUUGUUUGUUUUGUAGAGAAAAAGAAAGUAAAAAAAAAAAGAAAAGAAGAAGAGAGACGCAGUAUAUAUUGGAAAAAAGUGAAGGGCAAAUGAGUCUUUUCAGCAAGUUAAAUAUGUCCCCAGUGUUAUGUUAUCAGCAGCUGCCCUAAAACCUCUUGAACGCUACCCGCAGUGCAAACUUCGGACGUAAGAUUACCUGCUGAACUACGUCGUAUUAUACACCUCCUCCGACCAUCUUGAUAUUUCAUGGGAAGAGAAAUUAGCAGCGGCGGACAAAAAUCCUCCUCUUCGUCGUCGGCGGGGAUGUCGUACACGGUGGAGCAGCUCGUCGCCGUCAAUCCUUACAACCCUGACAUUCUCCCCGAUCUCGAAAACUUCGUCAAUGAGCAGGUUCUCCUUUUUUUCUUUUGUUUUCUGAUGAUGAUGAAUAAGGGAAAAAAAUUCUUAUCUUUAUUUAAUCCAAUAACUAAGGUUUAUUUUGAAUGUUGAAACUAUAAAAACAUGUAUUUUUAGGUAUCUUCCCAAACGUACAACUUGGAUGCUAACCUCUGCCUUCUCCGCCUCUAUCAGGUUAGCCUACCGCUGCAAUUGGUCUUUAAUAUUUGAUUUUUAUAUUGUAAUAAUGCUGAAGUGAUUUUAGAAUCAUGAAAAAUGAACUACUUUUAAUGUUAUUAAAAACGGUUUCUUUUUUGCGGAUUUUGUAGUUUGAGCCGGAGCGAAUGAGUACUCAGAUUGUUGCUCGCAUUUUGGUUAAGGUAAAAAAAAGUUAGAAAACUAUUAACCUUUUGUUUUAUUUCAAAUUUCAUAGUUUUGGUCAACUAAUCAUUUAUCUAAUAUCGUUGAACUUUGUAAUAAUGAACAGGCACUUAUGGCAAUGCCGGCUCCUGAUUUCAGCCUUUGUCUCUUCUUAAUUCCUGAGCGAGUGGUACCUUUUGAUAGACUUUAUCUUUUUUUUUUUUUUGGCACGUUCUUUUUCUUUUUGCAACUUUGUCGAGUUGGGAAAGAGAAUAUGGAAGCUGUUGUAAACAAUGUUAAUGUUGGUUUCUUUUAUUCUUUGGGUUUAUGAAAGUAGUCAUUCUCUUAUUGCUGUAUGAAGGAAUUGUGUUGAUUGAAGAAGGUCACGUGUCAAAAGUAAUCGGGAAAAGUUGAAGCUUUACAAUUAUGAGAAAGUCUUCCAAUUAAAUUUUAUUUCUGGUGUAUUUGCUUUUUUUGUUGUUCCAGCUAAAUAUUUGGUUUACAAGUUACUUUCAAGUCGGUUCUAGUUCUUCCUUUUGUGAGAUCUAGUGAGGCAAGUUAUCUCUAGCUCGUUUGUUCCAGUUCUCUUUGCUGUUAAUUUGCUCUGUAAUCUUUUAUUGUUGUAUUAUUCCAUUGAUACCUGGGUUGUCUACUUAUCAUGUGCAGCCAAGGCAUUUCCCAUCAUGUACAGGGAUUGUCCACUUAUUCAAAGUUCUAGUUGAAACUUGUUUCAAAAAUGGUUCAGUGAACAAUGAGAAAAUCGACUAGUAAGAAACAAAAAGAAUUAUAUCAGUGUUAAGGCCCUUAAACAUAAGAAGAUGCUUCAAUAAUUGUAAAGUUAGGAUGGUAGCAUCUUAUGUUGCUCCUCGUUUUGAAGUGGGACGGUUAGUCUUGAUGAUUGAAAUGAGAAGCUUUUGCUUGUAUCUCUGCGUGGUUGGAUGGAUGGUCCUGGGGUAUAUGUUGGGGUUAAGUGGGAGGGAAGGGGUUUAGGCUGAGUGGCUCCGUGCAGAUGAGUUUAAUUGGGACUUUCUUGCUUAACAAUGCAAACUAAUUUGGCUUCUAGGUGGACAAUUUCCACUUGAAACUGCUAGGUGCCAAUUUCGUGGGGAGGUUAGAAAAUCUCUAUUACGUGAUCUUGGCUUGGUAUGCUAGUAGCUAAGAUUGUUAUAUAAAUCUCCUGUAGCUGGCAGGCUUUGAACAGCCCUUUUAUUUAGGAAAUCGUGGCAUACGCCUUUUGCAGCACAUUUGUGGUCAAACUUUGUUGAAGAAAUUAGUAAUUGAAUAAAAUACUUGUCAUCGGAAUUAUUUCAGGCUCUUUAUGCAGGAGUCUAAACUAUGCAUGAGGUGGUUGCUGUUCUGGAAAUAGACUAUCUUUUUCUAAACAGUUUUAUUUGAUCAUCAACUCAUCUCAUCUGAAUUGGCAGCAAAUGGAGGAACAGUUCAAGACGUUAAUUGUGCUUUCGCACUAUUUGGAGGUACACUUUUACCUCAGACCCUGGCAUAUAUUUUUUAUUAAACAGAUUAUAGAUCAGAAUUUUGAUUCAUAUUCUGCUGCAGACUGCAAGAUUCCGUCAGUUCUGGGAUGAAGCUGCUAAGAGUCGGCAUUUGUUAGAAGUUGUGCCAGGUAUGUCAUAAUGUCUAUGUAAGUUGUAGCAUGUAAGUCUAUGGUUGGUGGUUUCAUUUAAUGAGUAUGCAAAGCAGUACAUGGUUACGAGUCUCAAACUGCUGGAAUCAUCUUAAUAAUCUGUCUUGCUGUUUUUCACAUUCUGUAUUCUGUUGCCUCUUCCCCAGCUUGCUUCUGGCUCUUAUAUUUUACUUCUGCAAUGUAAGCUUUUGGUUGUCUGUAUACUCCUGUUAAUGAGGACGCAACUGCAGGUUUUGAACAAGCAAUUCAAGCAUAUGCAAUUCAUGUCCUCUCCUUGACUUACCAAAAAGUUCCAAGGUCUGUCCUUGCUGAGGUAUGGUUCGCUUCUGAAAAUUGCUUUAUGAAUUUUCCAGUUGUUCUUUUAUUUCAGUAAUGUGACUGCAGAUUUUUGCAAGUUUUUCUUUGUAGAUGUUACACCAAAAAGAAUUACCUAGCUUAUGGCAUCUGGUGCUUAGAUAUUCCCUGAUCCCUGUUAAAGUUUGUCUUGGAUUCAAAUUCCACCACAUGCAUUAUUGCUUUUGCAUCGGUGGUAGAUUUGGUGUUUAAUCUUGUGUUUUAAAACUUCACUUGUUGUUUCGCAAUUCUGCUCUCUCUCUCUCUCUCUCUCUCUCUCUCUCUCAUGGACAUACAUUUCAUGCUUACACCAUAUGAAACGUUUUAUUUGAGUUUAAUCAUAAAAUACUCGUCUGUACUUUUGCCUUGGUAUCAUACAGGCCAUCAACAUAGAAGGUCUGUCUUUGACAAGUUUGUUGAGCACCAUACAGCAAACUCUGGUUGGGUUGUAGAGAAGGGCCAUGUUAAGAGCCCACUCAUUACACUUCCAAGCAAUGAGUUCAACCGUCCAGAGCUUAAGAAAAAUACUGCAGACGGUGUACCAUUCGAGCAUGUCGCCCGUAUCUUCCCCAUUCUUGGCUAAGUAUUACAGUUCAAUGGGAAGGAAAAUAUCUCAAAAAUGUUGUUUGUUCUAACGGAAUUCUGGUGAUUAAGAUGAAAUGAGUUGUAAAAACAGUUUUGCCCUAUAUUUUAGAUGCUUGAAUUCUUCUUUUGGAGAAAUUUUUAGUUGUUGCCACAUUUCAAACAUUGGUUAAUAAUCUUUAGGGUCUCUUUUUUAUAUUAGGUUUGACAUGUUUGCACUGAUAGAAUCUUAAAAUCCAGGACGACAUAGGCACGGCACCCCCAUUACAGAAUUAUACUUUCUAAUGUUCAAUUAUACUCUCUUGUUUUAAGUUCGAAUUACCCAUCGAUCACACUCUAUCCGAUAAUCUGAAUAGCUUAAAAGAAGAGAAUUAAUUUUUAUCAAACUAAAAUCAAUACAUUAUGUUAAAUCAUCACACUAUGUUGAAUUUUAAACUUAGAUAUAGUCAUAGAGAAAUUUAACAUGUUAUGAAGGAUAAAUUUAAUAAUUUUCCAAAAGAAGAUUUAAACAACUACCUCACAAUUUCCCAACAAACAGUUUUACAUAAAAUAUGGCAAAUAACAAUCUACAAGGCAAACAUGCAUGCCAACUAAAUACAAACUAAACUCACAAAUGUCUAAUUUUUUCUUACCCACUGCCAUCUUUAUUGAUAAAAGAUUGAUGCUAGUCUACCACACAGUACUCCUUGGGGUGUUCUCAGUUGUAAGUCAGCUGUGGAUCGCAAUCCAUAGCAUCGAGAAGCCUACAAGGUCAAUCCUUCACACUUUUGAUGGGGAUACAUUUCAACCCAGGCAGCCAAGGAGGCCGACUGAUCUGGCAACCCAAGCAAGUCGCUGAAAAGAAUUGAGCAGAAAGAGUCGCAUAGUGCCAUCCAAUAGAAUAUUGUUUUCGCUGGUUUAACGCUAGAAUGGUACCAAUCAUAACUAAAUUCUUCAGAUGCCUAUCAAACACACAUACGAGAAACAAAACCUUCACACAGACUAAGAAUGCCUACCUUUAGCAGUGUUUGGCCAAAAAGAUUUACCAUUAUUUUUUUGCCCGUCUUGAAAUUUCUUCACCUUGGCUGAUCUUUUCUUAUGCUCCUUCGGAACCGAAGUAAAAUUUUAAGUCGAAACCACAAAAUCAAAACAUAAACUGUCCUACCAAAAGUUUAUUUAAGAGCUUAUUCGCACGAUAAAUUUUGAUAGAUUCAAAAAUAAAUGGACAAAACAAAUCAAUGGCCUAAAACUGCAAGAGACAGGAGCUCCAAUGAGUUGGAUCAUAUUUACACCACUGCAACUAAGAACCGGAGGAUUAGUUGUUGAAGAAAAUAACUACAACGAAGUUGAUGAGAAAGAGCUCCAAAAGAAUCUUUAAAAUUGUUGAUGGCUAUUUACUCGGUGUACGCUAAUGUAUCAGGCUCCGACCGAAGUUUAGACGAUCGAAUUCAUUCUGCAAAUCAGACGCAUGGGCAGAGAGGAAUAAUUUCCAGAAGCUCGUCAAACAAAAGA